rnacentral:tRNA from 1 species
UGCCGAGUAGUGUAACGGUAGCACAACGGAUUCUGGAUCCGUUUGCCAAGGUUCGAAUCCUUGCUCGGCAGCCA